rnacentral:rRNA from 2 species
AUGCAAGUCGAACGAUGAAGCUCCAGCUUGCUGGGGUGGAUUAGUGGCGAACGGGUGAGUAACACGUGAGUAACCUGCCCUUGACUCUGGGAUAAGCCUUGGAAACGGGGUCUAAUACCGGAUAGGAGCAUUCACCGCAGGUGGGUGUUGGAAAGAAUUUCGGUCUUGGAUGGACUCGCGGCCCAUCAGCUUGUUGGUGAGGUAAUGGCUCACCAAGGCGACGACGGGUAGCCGGCCUGAGAGGGUGACCGGCCACACUGGGACUGAGACACGGCCCAGACUCCUACGGGAGGCAGCAGUGGGGAAUAUUGCACAAUGGGCGCAAGCCUGAUGCAGCGACGCCGCGUGAGGGAUGACGGCCUUCGGGUUGUAAACCUCUUUCAGUAGGGAAGAAGCGAAAGUGACGGUACCUGCAGAAGAAGCACCGGCUAACUACGUGCCAGCAGCCGCGGUAAUACGUAGGGUGCGAGCGUUAUCCGGAAUUAUUGGGCGUAAAGAGCUCGUAGGCGGUUUGUCGCGUCUGCCGUGAAAGUCCGGGGCUUAACUCCGGAUCUGCGGUGGGUACGGGCAGACUAGAGUGCAGUAGGGGAGACUGGAAUUCCUGGUGUAGCGGUGGAAUGCGCAGAUAUCAGGAGGAACACCGAUGGCGAAGGCAGGUCUCUGGGCUGUAACUGACGCUGAGGAGCGAAAGCAUGGGGAGCGAACAGGAUUAGAUACCCUGGUAGUCCAUGCCGUAA